GUUGGCAAAGAUUAUACAUUUGUAGUGAAGAAUAUGAGAAGAGUGAAAAAUAAGAGAAUGAAAAAACAUAAAUAAAAAGAAAAAAAUAAAAGUAUAAGGACUAGUUGUGCAAUUUGACUUAAAAUUUUAGUCUGAUAUGAUGAAAUAACGGGUCAUGUCAGAUUGUCGUUACACCAUUAACAAGAGUUAAUAACUCAGUAACCAAAA
rnacentral:lncRNA from 1 species